GAGUUUGAUCCUGGCUCAGGAUGAACGCUAGCGGCAGGCUUAAUACAUGCAAGUCGAGGGGCAGCAGCUUUAUAGCAAUAUAGAGGCUGGCGACCGGCAAACGGGUGCGGAACACGUACACAACCUUCCUUGAAUAGGGGGAUAGCCCAUAGAAAUGUGGAUUAAUACCCCGUAAUAUAGCGGUGUGGCAUCACACUGUUAUUAUAGUUUCGGCGAUUCGAGAUGGGUGUGCGGCUGAUUAGGUAGUUGGCGGGGUAAAGGCCCACCAAGCCUUCGAUCAGUAGCUGAUGUGAGAGCAUGAUCAGCCACACGGGCACUGAGACACGGGCCCGACUCCUACGGGAGGCAGCAGUAAGGAAUAUUGGUCAAUGGACGCAAGUCUGAACCAGCCAUGCCGCGUGAAGGAUGAAGGUCCUCUGGAUUGUAAACUUCUUUUAUAGGGGGCGAAAAAAGGUCUUCUAGAUCACUUGACAG
rnacentral:rRNA from 1 species